ACAUAUAUUUUGAAAGCCGUCUUUUUCUGUUCACAAAGAUCGAGAUCGGCUGUACCGAUUUUUUGGAAAUUUCGGACACCUACAGCAG